GCAUCAGUAACAAGGGAAAAGGUUUUGUUAGCACUGUUGACCCAGAGGAAAUCUGCCCUUUUCAGAUCGACAUGCCCCCCGGACCAAAAAGGUGAUGGAGACGCCAUUUCACAAGCAGGUGUCCAAUCGCCUGCUGCACAGGCAAAAGAUGGGCAGGCUUGUGCUGUAGUCUCCACAACUGGAUCAGACUGACACAGGAUUCCCAUUCACCGGAUGGUCUGAGGGAUGCACUCAUGUUGGACUGGAAAACAAAAAGAGACAUUUGGUCAAUGGCUCGAUCUGUUGUCAUCUCUACAGGUACAGGAUGUCCACGCACUGGAUGGCCUGAGGGAUUCACUCCUGUUGGACUGGAAAACAAAAAGAGUCAUUUGGUCAGUGCCGUAUCAACAUCUUUAUUUGGACAGAAAAUGUACCGUUUGUCAUAACACAAACCCACCUUGGACAAUGUGUGACAAGUGGUCCCUCAACAACCAAUCCUCAUGCCUCAUUGUGUGUUCUCAUUCCCCAAUCAACAGUCUGGAUCUUCCUCUCUGCCAUGGUGGGUGAGCUACCUUUUCCUGGUAUAUUUUCCCACUGGAAAAUGGCAGCUGCAGACCCGAGUGCUGUCACUGGGUUUUCUGUCCUCCCAUCUGAAAGACAACACAAAAAAAGUUACUUUUACUAGCCUAGCUAAGUUGAUUACUAAAACGGUAACAUCUACAGUGGGGCAAAAAGUAUUUAGUCAGCCACCAAUUGUGCAAG